rnacentral:rRNA from 1 species
GAGGAAUAUUGCGCAAUGGACGAAAGUCUGACGCAGCCAUGCCGCGUGCAGGAUGACGGCCCUAUGGGUUGUAAACUGCUUUUGUAUAGGAAGAAACUCAGCUACGUGUAGCUGACUGACGGUACUGUAUGAAUAAGCAUCGGCUAACUCCGUGCCAGCAGCCGCGGUAAUACGGAGGAUGCAAGCGUUAUCCGGAUUUAUUGGGUUUAAAGGGUGCGUAGGCGGGGAUUUAAGUCAGUGGUGAAAUACUGCAGCUUAACUGUAGCACUGCCAUUGAUACUGAAUUUCUUGAGUGCGGUUGAAGUAGGCGGAAUGUGUAAUGUAGCGGUGAAAUGCUUAGAGAUUACACAGAACACCGAUUGCGUAGGCAGCUUACUAAGCCGUAACUGACGCUGAGGCACGAAAGUGUGGGGAUCGAAC